AAAGAAUUCACAGAAAAAUCAACGAUUUGGAUACGCACUAAGAAGAAAUGCUCAACCAGGAUGCUACGUUCUGUCAGCGAAGAAUUUUAACUUUUACCAAUUUCGAAACAACCGACAUCAUCUCUUGCUACCCUGACGUUUACUUAUUUUACGCUGAUAAAACUUGAUGAGUACAUUGCUACAUUUGCGAAAUUUUUAACAUGGUAUUGAUCUAAGUUGAUCGGUCUGCAAAUUUUGAAUGAAAACGAGUAGAUCUUGUGCAAAUUAUCCACAGAAAAAUGGACGAUUCGGAUACGUACUAAGAAGAAAUGCUCAACCGGGAUGCUACGUUCUGAUAGUCCAAAUCCUACCGUCUUCCAUAUCAUGGUCAAUUUUGUAUAGGGAGUGCAUAAAACCAGUUCAUCUUCUUAGUUGGAAAUUAUUUUAUUGAUUUUUUGUAAAAAUAUAAGCAUAAGUGGGUUUAUUGAAGUGAAUUAACAUUAAGAUAAAUAGCUUCCAUUUUCAUUUUACCACAUUUUAAUUAAUUGUUUUAU